rnacentral:rRNA from 1 species
CCUACGGGGGGCAGCAGUGAGGAAUAUUGGUCAAUGGACGAGAGUCUGAACUAGCCAAGUAGCGUGAAGGAUGACUGCCCUAUGGGUUGUAAACUUCUUUUAUAUGGGAAUAAAACAGGGUAUGCAUACCCUCUCGUAUGUACCAUAUGAAUAAGGAUCGGCUAACUCCGUGCCAGCAGCCGCGGUAAUACGGAGGAUCCGAGCGUUAUCCGGAUUUAUUUGGUUUAAAGGGAGCGUAGGUGGAUUGUUAAGUCAGGUGUGAAAGUUUGGGGCUCAACCGUAAGAUUGCAGUUGAAACUGGCAGUCUUGAGUACAGUAGAGGUGGGCGGAAUUCGUGGUGUAGCGGUGAAAUGCUUAGAUAUCACGAAGAACUCCGAUUGCGAAGGCAGCUCACUGGACUGCAACUGACACUGAUGCUCGAAAGUGUGGGUAUCAAACAGGAUUAGAUACCCGAGUAGUC